rnacentral:rRNA from 1 species
UACAGAGGUCCCAAGCGUUGUUCGGAGUUACUGGCGUAAGGUAGGUGUAGCGGUUGUUUAAGUUUGGUGUGAAAUCUCCCGGCUCAACUGGGAGGGUGCGCCGAAUACUGAAUGACUUCGAGUGCGGGAGAGGAGAGUGGAAUUCCUGGUGUAGCGGUGAAAUGCGUAGAUAUCAGGAGGAACACCGGUGGUGUAGACGGCUCUCUGGACCGUAACUGACGCUGAGACACGAAAGCGUGGGUAGCAAACAGG